AUUGUAAGCAUCACAAUAGUUAAUAUCCUGUAUGUGGCCUUAUACUGAUAAUAACGUGUAGUAUGCACCGGGCUUUAUACUUUUUGGUUGUUGUGUUUAUGGUCAUUUUAGUUUUAUAUAGAGAACUGUCAGAUUUUGGCGGAAUGCCGUCGACCGAUAUUAUGUACGAUUUGAUCUUAGUUAAUACGGUGUAUCGAUGUAAUAAAAGAAAUAUUAACUGGAUGCAGUGGUUUGUAUGAUAAACCCCAUUUACUGAGCUUUAAAUCAAUGAUCUUCUACAUCUCAGAAAGCGGGAUUAUGAAUUCAAAUGCCCACAUAGAUAUUGGAUGCACUUAAUUUAUUUUCACUUGUAUAGAGGUGCAUAAAAAUGUAAGUUGCUUGGUCUUUUAAAUGUUUGUUUCAUAGUCGAAACAGUUGAGUUGAUAGUAUAUAAAUGAUACAAGAUUUCAUUAGCUUGUUUGUUUUGCUCGCUAAAGAGAACGAUUGACAGUUCGUUUCGUUUGCAUAAAUCAAAAGUUUUGUUUUAAAUUUUCAAUGUACUGUACAUAGUUACAUACAUUUGCUAUGGUAUUGACCUAUUUAUUAACCCGUGUUCUUGUCAUUGUUUGUUUUCGGUUUUGUGAGAUGAGACGGAAUACAAUGAGAGUAGAUCUCGAAAAUGCAAGCGCAAGCAAUCAACCAUCAACUUUCUGGUGAGACAAGAGCCAUACUUAAGAGCCUGUGACAUGGUUAUGAAGGAAGGCAACGCGGUAAGGAUGGCAUUGUGCAGUGCAAGUGCUCAGUGAAUCUAGUUAUUAACACUGAGUUGUAUAAUGACAUUCUUUGAUGAUAAGCGAGGGUCUCGCAGCAAGAGCUGACUAAAGCAAAGAAGGUUAAGCUAUUACAUGGUGCUGUCAGCAGUGGGGCAGGGUCCAAGCUGCCGAUGGCCAGGGCCGCUGAGUGAGAAACCGGCGUACUAUACACGCCGUGUCCAGGAUAUAGCAAUCUGCAUCUGACCAGCGAGAGUCUCUGAGUGUUGGGUUGGUUGGGUUGGUUAGUUUGGCAGACUGUCUAGUACAGGCCGUAAUGGCAGACUGUCUAGAGCAGGCCAUGACUGUUUAUUAUGUUAGUUUAUACUUUGGCUGACUAUCUAGAGCAGGCCCUGAUGGCAGACUGUCUAGAGGCCAUAAGUAGGUAUAUAUGCUGUUAAGGUACUUGUAAUAUGAGAUACUUGUAAUUUGUUUGAAUUGAUAUUUGCGGUUAGUUGUAUUUUAUAAUUGUUGAUGUGUUUUUUUUAAAUUGUAUGCAAAUUCCAUGUUGACGUGUAAAAGUGCCCUUGUGGCCUAUUUGCUGAAUAAAUGUUGAAAUUGAAGAAGUUGGCCUUGUUGCCUGAUUCAUUAUAUUCGUUUAUACUUUGACAAACUGCCCAGAGUAGGCCUUGAAGGCAGACUGUCUAGAACAGGCUAUGAUAGCAGCCUGUCUUCUAGAGCAGGCCGUGAUGGCAGACUGUCUAGACUAAUCUAGUCUGAAGCAGGCCAUAACAAAUUAAAUCAGUACAAUGAUUAGGUGUGAGGUUUGGCAGACUGUCUAGAACAGGCUAUGAUAGCAGCCUGUCUUCUAGAGCAGGCCGUGAUGGCAGACUGUCUAGACGAAUCUAGUCUAGAGCAGGCCAUAACAAAUUAAAUCAUUACAAUGAUUAGGUGUGAGGUUUGGCAGACUGUCUAGAACAGGCUAUGAUAGCAGCCUGUCUUCUAGAGCAGGCCGUUGUGGCAGACUGUCUAGACUAAUCUAGUCUAGAGCAGGCCCUAACAAAUUAAAUCAUUAAAAUGAUUAGGUGUGAGUUUUGGCAGACUGUCUAGAACAGGCUUUGAUAGCAGCUUGUCUUUUAGAGCAGGCCGUGAUGGCAGACUGUCUAGACCAGUCAAGUCUAGAGCAGGCUAUAACAAUUUAUACUUUGGAAUGAUGUCUAGAACAGGCCUUGAAGGCAGACUGUGAUUGUUUAUGAUGUGUUAUAUUUUGUUAAAAUUCCUAGAGCAGGCCUUGAGGGCAGACUGUGAUUUUUGAUGUUGAUUUAUACUUUGCCAAACUGUUUAGAACAGGCCUUGAGGGCAGACUGUGAUUGUUUGUGGUUAUGUAUUAUAUUUUGCCAAACUGUUUAGAGCAGGCCUUAAGGGCAGACUGUGAUUGCUUCUGAUCAUGUUAUAUACUUUUUCAAACUGUUUAGAGCAGGCCUUGAGGCAGACUGUGAUUGUUUAUGAUCAUGUAUUUAUACUUUGCCAGACUGUUUAGAGCAGGCCUUGAGUGCAGACUGUGAUUGUUUAUGAUCAUGUAUUAUACUUUGUCCAACUGUUUAGAGCAGGUCUUGAGUGCAGACUGUGAUUGUUUAUGAUCAUGUAUUAUACUUUGCCCAACUGUUUAGAGCAGGCCUUGAGUGCAGACUGUGAUUGUUUACGAUCAUGUAUUAUACUUUGCUAAAUUGUUUAGAUCAGGCCUUGAGUGCAGACUGUGAUUGUUUAUGAUCAUGUAUUAUACUUUGCCAAAUUGUUUAGAUCAGGCCUUGAGUGCAGACUGUGAUUGUUUAUGAUCAUGUAUUAUACUUUGCCAAAUUGUUUAGAUCAGGCCUUGAGUGCAGACUGUGAUUGUUUAUGAUCAUGUAUUAUACUUUGCCAAAUUGUUUAGAUCAGGCCUUGAGUGCAGACUGUGAUUGUUUAUAAUCAUGUAUUAUACUUUGCCAAAUUGUUUAGAUCAGGCCUUGAGGGCAGACUGUGAUCGUUGAGGUUGGUUUAUACUUUGGCAGACUGCCUAGAGCAGACCAUGAUUGUAAGUUAGUUCAUAUAUUGAAAGACUAUCUAAAGAAGGCUGUUAAUGCUACCAGGUGUUGGUUGUAUUCAAUGACUGUUUACAUGAUCUCAGAUUCAAGCAUGUUAAGCGUUAAGAUUUAUUUCUCAAUAAGGCUAAAGGUUAUUAUUGGCUAUGAUUGAUUCAUGUGAGCCCAUACUGUGCAUAAGAAGUGUACUGUGUAGAACUUUACAAAUACUGUUGUUGUGAAUGUUUAUCUUUGAUAUCGAUAAAAGUGUUACGAUAUAUUGCUGUUGUUAUUAAUGUUUAUAAUUACUUUUAGUGAGAGGGCUCACUUUUAAAAAAAAGGAUGGCCGAAGCUGUAAGCAUCACAAUAGUUAAUAUCCUGUAUGUGGCCUUAUACUGAUAAUAACGUGUAGUAUGCACCGGGCUUUAUACUUUUUGGUUGUUGUGUUUAUGGUCAUUUUAGUUUUAUAUAGAGAACUGUCAGAUUUUGGCGGAAUGCCGUCGACCGAUAUUAUGUACGAUUUGAUCUUAGUUAAUACGGUGUAUCGAUGUAAUAAAAGAAAUAUUAACUGGA